GAUGAACGCUAGCGGCAGGCUUAAUACAUGCAAGUCGAGGGGCAGCAGCUUUGUAGCAAUACAGGGGCUGGCGACCGGCAAACGGGUGCGGAACACGUACGCAACCUUCCUUUAACUGGAAGAUAGCCCACCGAAAGGUGGAUUAAUACUCCAUAACAUGUUGAAGAGGCAUCUCUUUGAUAUUAAAGCUCCGGCGGUUAAAGAUGGGCGUGCGUCUGAUUAGGUAGUUGGCGGGGUAACGGCCCACCAAGCCUUCGAUCAGUAGCUGAUGUGAGAGCAGGAUCAGCCACACGGGCACUGGGACACGGGCCCGACUCCUACGGGAGGCAGCAGUAAGGAAUAUUGGUCAAUGGACGCAAGUCUGAACCAGCCAUGCCGCGUGGAGGAUGAAGGCCCUCUGGGUUGUAAACUUCUUUUCUUUGGGACGAAACCCCUGUUUCUACGGGGACUGACGGUACCAGAGGAAUAAGCACCGGCUAACUCCGUGCCAGCCGCCGCGGUAAUAC
rnacentral:rRNA from 1 species